rnacentral:rRNA from 1 species
AUUGAACGCUGGCGGCAGGCCUAACACAUGCAAGUCGAACGGUAGCACAGAGAGCUUGCUCUCGGGUGACGAGUGGCGGACGGGUGAGUAACGUCUGGGAAACUGCCCGAUGGAGGGGGAUAACUACUGGAAACGGUAGCUAAUACCGCAUAACGUCGCAAGACCAAAGUGGGGGACCUUCGGGCCUCACACCAUCGGAUGUGCCCAGAUGGGAAUUAGCUAGUAGGUGGGGUAAUGGCUCACCUAGGCGACGAUCCCUAGCUGGUCUGAGAGGAUGACCAGCCACACUGGAACUGCGACACGGUCCAGACUCCUACGGGAGGCAGCAGUGGGGAAUAUUGCACAAUGGGCGCAAGCCUGAUUCAGCCAUGCCGCGUGUAUGAAGAAGGCCUUCGGGUUGUAAAGUACUUUCAGCGGGGAGGAAGGCGGUGAAGUUAAUAGCUUCACCGAUUGACGUUACCCGCAGAAGAAGCACCGGCUAACUCCGUGCCAGCCGCCGCGGUAA